UACGUAGGGUGCGAGCGUUGUCCGGAAUUAUUGGGCGUAAAGAGCUCGUAGGCGGUGUGUCACGUCGGCCGUGAAAACCUGGGGCUCAACUCUGGGCGUGCGGUCGAUACGGGCAUCACUUGAGUUCGGCAGGGGAGACUGGAAUUCCUGGUGUAGCGGUGAAAUGCGCAGAUAUCAGGAGGAACACCGGUGGCGAAGGCGGGUCUCUGGACAGUUCCUGACGCUGAGGCACGAAGGCCAGGGGAGCAAACGGG
rnacentral:rRNA from 1 species